ensembl:rRNA 5S_rRNA 5S ribosomal RNA
GUCUACGGCCAUACCACCCUGAACACGCCCAAUCUCGUCUGAUCGUGGAAGCCAAGCAGGGUGGUGCCUGGUUAGUACUUGGAUGGGAGUUCAGAAAUUAGGGGUUGUUGGGG